rnacentral:snRNA from 1 species
AGUGUAGUAUCUGUUCUUCUCGUUUAAUACCUGGGACGGAAACGAUUCGUUUCCUCUAUGUAUUAAUCGGAUUUUUGAACUUGGAGUAUGGUGCUGGAGCUUGCUCCACCCUGCUCACGGGUUGUCCUGGUAUUGCAGUACCUCCAGGUUCGGCUCACGUUUC